AUUGAACGCUGGCGGCAUGCUUUACACAUGCAAGUCGAACGGUAACAGGCCUUCGGGUGCUGACGAGUGGCGAACGGGUGAGUAAUGCAUCGGAACGUACCCAGAGGUGGGGGAUAACGCAGCGAAAGCUGUGCUAAUACCGCAUGUGAUCUGAGGAUGAAAGCGGGGGACCGAGCAGCAAUGUUUGGCCUCGCGCCUUUGGAGCGGCCGAUGUCGGAUUAGCUAGUUGGUGGGGUAAAGGCCUACCAAGGCGACGAUCCGUAGCUGGUCUGAGAGGACGACCGGCCACACUGGGACUGAGACACGGCCCAGACUCCUACGGGAGGGAGCAGUGGGGAAUUUUGGACAAUGGGCGCAAGCCUGAUCCAGCAAUGCCGCGUGCGGGAAGAAGGCCUUCGGGUUGUAAACCGCUUUUGGCAGGAACGAAACGGUGUCCGCUAAUACCGGGCGCUAAUGACGGUACCUGCAGAAUAAGCACCGGCUAACUACGUG
rnacentral:rRNA from 1 species